GCCGCCACGGCCGCGUGGAGCGGGAACGCGACCCGGACAGACACGCGGACACACGGACACAGCGUGCGACGUUCCUGAGUCCUCACACCUGAGAGCCUGCCCCCCUCUGUGAGAUUACCCCUCUUCUGUGGCCGGAGUUUCAUGGCGUCGCUCCCGAAAAACCUUCCUGGAAAGGAAACGCGCCUCUGCGUGCAUCAUUAACGUGAAAUAGGGCCUGUGUCGGACUGCAUCCGCCUGUGUGCCGUCGCAGAUGACGGACGGCGUUAUGAGCAGCAGAACGAUGGACAGUGGGUCUGGCCAAAAACAUCUCCUGGGGAUUUCAGCACUGACGAAGCUCUGAAAGAUCCCUCUUGCACUUGAGAGCAAUGUUGCGAGUGUGUUUUGCGGGCACACAGAAGCACGUUCGACAGAGUGUGAGGCGAAUCUUCCGCUGGCCUACGUGCUGUCGGAGUGGGCCAGGGGCCUGCAGAUCAGCUGGGUAAUUAAGAAUCGGAUUGGCUCUUACCUUAAGAAUCUUUCUCCCUCCCUUCCUACCACACGCACACACUUACAUACGAAGGAAAUAGCGGAUUGUUAUGUUGCCACUCUGGUAGCAGCACAAUCAAUAACAAAAAUAACGCUCAUAUAGUAAGGGGAGUUAAUGAAAAUAAAAUAUCCAUGGCACAGUGUGGUGGUUUGACUGCCCGUGCGCUGUCUCUCUGGCGACCGAUUGAGAGCAGAGGUGUGCAGUCUUAUCCGAAAAGGGCCGGUGUGGGUGCAAGGUUGUUUCUUUUUUAGCCCAGCACUAAGAGACCACAUUGUACUUAUCGAGGUCUGGUUGAACACUAUGAUCACUUCAUUAGUUGAAUUUGGUGUCUUGGUGCUGAGUGACAGAAACAGAAACCUGCACCCACACCGGGCCUUCUCAGGUAUGAUGGGACACCCAUCUCCACCUCCGCUAGUGAGCGUUCUGGCACAAAAUGGCGGCCGUUGCAUCACCCAGGUGGGUGGUACACAUUGGUGGCACAAAAUGGCUGCCGUUGCUUCACCCAGGUGGGUGCGACACAUUGGUUACACAAAAUGGCUGCCGUUGUAUCACCCAGGUGGGUGGUACACAUUGGUGGCACAAAAUGGCUGCAGUUGCUUCACCCAGGUGGGUGCGACACAUUGGUUGCACAAAAUGGUGGCCGUUUCAUCACCCAGGUGGGUGCUACACAAGGCGAGUUUCGCCCCCUCAUCACUGUAAAGCACACUCUCGCAUCUUCUCUCUAUCGAUAAGCCACUUCUCCACCUUCGCCAAGCGUAAAAACAGUUUUUGCGAUAUUGCGUAUUUGUAACGGUAUUCCAAAUUUCAGGCAUUUGCACUGCCGGUUUUCUUAUGAUCGAAUUCAAAUUUUGAAUAAAAACUGUUGGAUGGAAACCCCA